CCAAUGUUCAGUUUACAUAGCACGUGAUUUUUAUGACUACAUAUUGUUAUUGUUGGCGCCAGCGCGGAUAUAUUCAAAGUGACACGUCUAAAAAAGUUGUGUCUUUGUGGCAGAGAUAAAGUGGUGUAUAUAAGAUCAUAGAUGGGUCCACGUGGUUUCAGAUUUCUACUGUAGGGUAAAAAGGUCGUGUUCAAGUGACAAAGUUCAAGAUCAAAGAAACAGAUCACGGGUGGAUGUGUUUUUCAAAUAUGGAAUAUUAAAUGUUGUGUUUUAAUGGCAAAGAUCAAGCGCACCAUACAGAUCAUGGACAAAGGUGUUGUUAGAUCUGGAGCACAAACG
rnacentral:lncRNA from 1 species